rnacentral:rRNA from 1 species
UGUGAGGGGCAUGUGAGGGCUGUCGCUGACUCAAAGUCGUGCACGCCCGAGUGUGUCCUCUCGCAUAAUAAUCCAUCUCACCCUUUGUGCAUCGCCGCGUGGGCACCCUUUGGGAUCAUCUCGGAGGGGGCUCGCGUUUUCACACAAACCCCCCUUUUAAAAGUGUAGAAUGACCUCAUUUAUGCGCUAACACGCAAUCAAUACAACUUUCAACAACGGAUCUCUUGGCUCUCGCAUCGAUGAAGAACGCAGCGAAAUGCGAUACGUAAUGUGAAUUGCAGAAUUCAGUGAAUCAUCGAAUCUUUGAACGCACCUUGCGCCCCUUGGUAUUCCGAGGGGCACACCCGUUUGAGUGUCGUGAAAACCUCAACCUCCUUGGUUUCUUCUGGAGACCAAAGGCAGGCUUGGACUUUGGAGGCCUUUGCUGGAACCUCUCUCUUUUGAAGGCCAGCUCCUCUUAAACGAAUUAGCAGGGUCCUCUUUGCCGAUCCUCGACGUGUGAUAAGAUGUUUCCAUGUCUUGGUUUCUGGCUCUGUCACCUUUGGGACCCGCUUCUAACCGUCUUGACCUUGCGUCGAGACAACGUUCGAGCAUGUCUCCCUUCUCGGGAAGCUCCCUCGACCCCACGAACCCUUGACCUCAAAUCGGGUGAGACUACCCGCUGAACUUAAGCAUAUCAAUAAGCGGAGGAAAAGAAACUAACAAGGAUUCCCCUAGUAACUGCGAGUGAAGCGGGAAAAGCUCAAAUUUAAAAUCUGGCGGUCUUUGGCCGUCCGAGUUGUAAUUUARAGAAGCGUCUUCCGCGCUGGACCGUGUACAA